ensembl:snRNA U2 U2 spliceosomal RNA
AUAACUUCUUGGCCUUUUGACUGAGAUCAAGUGGAGUCACUGUUCUUGUCAGUUUUAUAUCGGAUGCACCCCUGUAUCUAAGAAUGAUAUAUUAAGUGUAUUUUUAGAGACGGAAAAUGGAGUAGCUUGUUAUGUCCACUCCACACAUUGGCUCGGUACUGCAGUAGCUCUAGGAAGGGUGUUCCCCAU